AUUGUUUGUGAUUAUUUCUGCCACAUUUAGAAGAAAUACACCAAUUGUACAGUCAUUGGCAUUAUAGACAUGCAAUUAAAGAUGUUUGAAAGCAUGAUCAGUCGUGCCAAAAACUCAAAUCGUCUACGUCAUUCAAAACAUCCGGUCCGUCGAUGAAAUCGAACCCCUUUCACAGUAAUUUUCAAACUUCAGUUCCGUGUGUAAAUUAGCGUAAGCAAUUAUUGCAUAUCAAUGUGUAAAAUUAUACCAAACUUGUAGUUUUAAGUUGCCGUUUACCCCCAUGCAGUUACAUGUUAAAUAGUGGGAGGGUGUGUUUUUGUUGUUUCGUAACACCAAGGCGGCGGAAGUGUUGUGUACGUGUUCUCUUGAUUGUAGUCCAUGUCCAAACUAGUGGAGGUCAGGACAUUUUUCGAGACGCUAAUGACAGUAUACGACGGACUUUCAAAUUUAGUUUUCUGUCCACCGUUUGUGCGACAUCUGUCACCAUGAAGCAGUAUGAGUUAUCCAAGGGAAAGCGCCUCGCAAAGCCACUUCUCUUCGGAACUUUAAUCGUGGGACUAGCCACAGCGUUCUUUAACAGACACGUAUUGUUUGAGGACAUCGCAGACAUACGAGCAGAGGAGAAGGCUCGCAACCAAGAAAAACUUCUUGCGGUGCUGGAGAGGAGGCACCGCCAGAUGGAGGAGAUAGCUGAGAAGAAAAUAGCUGGAGGAAAGGAGCACUGAGGAAUGCGCAAUACUGAAGACCAGCAGAUGCACUGCUUCUGAACUGGUCUGGACACUGCAAUUGUGCUGUGGCCUUUCAAAUGGACAAAAACCAUGGCACUGGUGAAGGUCAUUUUGCUCCAAGAGACUGCAUCACCAGUCUGCCAACAUGGUGGUUAAUUAUAAACACAGGUGAUGGGCGAAGACUUCAAAAUGAAUGACGCCUUUCCACUGGCAUGGGCCAAGAUUCAAGACUAUUCUACUCUACUGUCAAAAUGGCUUUGAUCAUCUGUAACUGCUCAAAUCUAAAUCAUGUCCCUUGAACAAAUGACACUGAUACACUGUCUCAGUCAAAACACGCCACUUUACCAUAAGCUUGACACAUCAUUGCAAUUCAACACAUUGUGCCAACAAUUUUCUUUUUGUGUAUCUCGAGUCAUUUCUGGAGAUAUGCCCAAGGUGUGAUAGUGUCAUAUGUGAAGGAUGUUAGGACGUCAUUUGUUAUUCAGUUUUUGCUAAGCCUUUGUUUUCAAUGGAAAAGGGACCUCGGAAAUGGCCUGAGUGAUGAUUGCAUUACAUGGAAUGAACAGGGAAGAAAUUUGAGAAAAGUGAUGCAAAAGAACUGUGGCUUAGUAAGCACACUAAUUCUGUUGGUACAUAUAUUGUGAAGACAAUAAAGUUUAAAAUGACAAAAAACUAUUAAAAUAUCCAAAGUGG